rnacentral:snRNA from 1 species
GUCGUUUGUCGUGUCAUAGUUCGU